rnacentral:rRNA from 1 species
GACGAACCGUGCGAACGUUGUUCGGAAUCACUGGGCUUAAAGGGCGCGUAGGCGGGCGAUCAAGUCCGGGGUGAAAUCUUUCGGCUUAACUCGGAAAGGUCAACUGAUACUGUGCGGCUAGAGUGCAGAAGGGGCAACUGGAAUUCUUGGUGUAGCGGUGAAAUGCGUAGAUAUCAAGAGGAACACCUGCGGCGAAGGCGGGUUGCUGGGCUGACACUGACGCUCAUGCACGAAAGCGUGGGGAGCAAACAGG